GCUGGGAGUAUGUCUAAAAUGAAAGAAACAGCAGCAAUAUCAGCAACUGAAAUAACCCAAAGAUUUGUGCUUUAGAGACCCAAACAGUAGAUUAGUCUUACUUCUCUCUGUAUGCCUAUAGGUACUUUUUUUGCCUCUCAGAAUUUGUUCCUUUUUAUUUUAUUGGCAAUAGAUGCCAUCAUUACUGCCACAGAGCAGAGCUCGGCAAUUUUUCAAGGAUGCUUUGCUAUAUUGCAUUUUCUUUCCCAAGAUGGAAGUCAAAUGUGCUGGCAGAAAUUUAGGAGAACCCAAGAGACACUUCCUCAUGAAGAAAUAAGAUGCAGCCAGACAGCUUAGCAAAGGUGGUGGUCUAGCUCUGGCUGAGUCCAGUGCUCAAAGAGCACUAAGAGCCAUUGCCUUUCAUUGAGGUUUCCAUAGGUGCUGUAGUUCCCAGUUCCUUGCACAUGGUUCAGUAUUUGUCCAUGUGAGAUAUUUGGUAUCUAAGUGUGGUGGAAUGGCCAUAGCUUGCAGCCAAACUCCCAGCAGCUGCUGGCUCGCUCUCCCCCUCAACAGGGGUAGAGAAUAGGAAGGUCAAGAAUGAGAAAGAUUAUGUGUUGAAAUGAAGACAGAGAGAUCACUUUCAGUGACCAUCACAGGCAAAACAGGCUGGACUUGAGGAAAAUUGACUUAAUAUAUUUCCAAUUAUUUAUGUAUUUAAUGAUUUGGGUAUUGGAAAGCAAAAAGACAAACACUAAAACACUUCGAGAAAACACCUUUUCUUCCCCCUUUCCCAGGCUCAGUUUUGCUCCUUCACCCUGAGUCCUCUCUUCACCCUUGUUAUCACCACAGGUUGUGUGUGAUCGGUCCCUUCAGCAAAGCAAAGGGGAGUGGACUUAGGAUCAGUACAUCGCAGUUCCUCUCUGCUGCUUCUUUCUUGUCAUGGUCCUCCACUCUGCUGCGGGUCCUACCAAGGCUGCCAUGAAUAUCGCUUCCCCAAAUCAUCAACUGAUACAGGAUUCGGUAUUCCAAACACCCAGGGCUCACCACUUUGCCUGUUGCUGGGUCAGGUCUCCUAGAAGUGGUGGCACUGCUGAGUGCCACACAAAGCAGCAACGUCAGGAGGAGACAUGAGGAUGCUCCAUGGCUGGGAGGCCUGCGCUGGCCCUUGUCUCCAUGUCCAUGGGUGAGUGGGAAGGUGCUCAGCACAUUCCAGCAUAAGGCUAUCAAUAAUAAACCAUUUUAAAUAUCUCAAAAGCAGUGCUGUGAUGACAACCCAAGUAAUUAAUUGCAUUACUUUUAAUAGACCCUUCAUAUACUGCCAAGUCAGUGACAUCUGCUGCAGUGUGGAAGUACCUUCAGUGAAGAACAUUUUUAAUACAGUGAUAUCUCAAAAGGCAGGCCAUAGAUAGAUAGGGUGAAAAUGGCCAUGCAGGGGAUAAAAUGCUUUAACAAACUGUUAAGCUUCCCUGCUUUUAUUGCUCAGCCAAAACAAUGACCAUUUACCCACUUACUGGUGGAUGAUUUAAUUGCAACCUAUUUCUAAAAACACGUAACCUUUCUGCCUAAGAUGCACUCUGCCCUUCUUGGAUAGCGCCAUGUUCUCCUGCACCUUAUUUCUGUUUUGUAUCAGUAUUACUAUUCCUCAUUUUAGCAUAGUUGUCUUUGACACCAAUCCAGGGGAGGCCUCAUCCUCAGCUGAUGCAAAGAGGCUUGUCCCAGAGCAAUUAAGAGCACUGAUUAGCAGCAGCAGAGUAUGUGGAGCUGGAGUUUUCAUACAAACACAAAUUCACUCGCUGCUCUGGUUCUCUUGGGGGAACAAUGCAAAAGAAGUUAUUAAAAUAGGGUUUGUUUAUUGACCUUCUCUAAUUUCUAUGUUCAUAAAAUAAUCUUGUUUAUUAACAAGUAAUCUUUAGCUGAGAUGGAGUGUGUUUCCUGAAACAUCUUCUGCAGAAUUCAUGGAUGGAAGCUGGAGAAACUGAAUACCAGGGAAUUAAUUUCAGAGGAUAUGAUCUCAUGAUCUCACUAUUUAUCUCUGGAGAUGGAGAGAUUUUGGCUGGCAGCUGCAACCCUAGAGAUAAGUGCAUUUAAAGGAAAUGGAACCUUUUAAAAAAAUAUAUUUACUGUUACAUUUUUAUGCUUGUGUCAAGUCUCAGGGUUUGGAUUAAAGGCCAGGCUUGUUCUUGUUUUAGUGCUUGUACCUGGCCUACUCUUAUUCAGUGGAGGGAUUUAAUGUGGCAAUAAAUAGCGACCUAACUUUAUUAUCCUGCUCCAGUGAAUCUCAGGAGGACUGGCAGAAAUGCAGUUUCCUAGGGUCUCUUUUCAAGCCCUCAUGACUCUCUCUGUACCAAGAAGUGUGUGCUGCAGUGGCAGUGCAGGGCUGGUGGAGUUGGCUUUAUGUCUCAUAGUAGCGGUCUUGUACAUCUUUUUUUUUUUUUUCUGCAGCCAUUCUGCAGCCCCUUCAUUCUGUACACAUAGCAGUGGUGAAUCACAGAUCCUACUGUGCUUCAGAAAUGCACAGAGGGAGAGUGACAGUGUCCCAUGCCAGGUGGAAGUUUUUUAUUGUUUAAAAAUGUCACCAUGUAGAAAAUAUCGGAAAAGUUGUGUAAAAGCAGCAUAGAGGCAGGGGAGGACUGUUCAGUGGAGCUUUGUUAUCUCUGUGGAAUGGAAAUAGAGAACUGGCAACAGUGUUUCAGUGACUGGAAAUCUCCAAGGCAAUUUCCAAGAUUUGCUGAUAGCUAACAUGGAAAUUGGACAAAUAAUUUUACAAAAUAGUACUUCCCAGUUAAUUCCUCUUCUCUGUAUGCUGUUUCCUCAGUAAAUGGCUGUUUUAUUGCCAAGAUUUAGUUAUUUGGCUGCAUUUUUUGUGCAAUCUUCCUUUACACAUUAUGUGCCUAAAUUUUCAGACAAUUCCAAAGGACUCAUGAUUUCCCCUGACAUUAGCUAAACCUGCUGGAGUUCAGUAUCUGAAAAAGGCUGCUUGCCACGGUCCUUUAAAGCAGCAACCAAAAAACUGAGCCUCCAGCAUUUGAAUCCAGAGCCAAAGCUAGAUCACAUCAGCUCUGAUGCAGUUAAGCAUUUAGGUAGGUGAGUAGGCAAUGUCACUACUUUGAUUCCUAGGGGCUGUUCUCAUGUUUCAAGUUAAGCAUGUCUAUCUGCUUUGCUGAGCUGCAGCCAAUGUCCCGGAAGCUUGGGUGGAAUGAGCAUUUCUAUGCCGAUGGACCAAACCAGCAAAUGUGCCAACCAUCCUGUCAUGUGGUGAGCUGGACCCCUCAGAGGAACAGGAGUUCAACCUUAAUUCUGUUUUACUCAUCCUACGUGAAGGGAGUGGACACAAACUCACAUGAGGAGGGAAAUAGUCUUGCUGGGAGAUACAGGACAUCCAUAGGAAUUAAGACUGAAGAUCUGAUAGUGAGGACUCUGUUAAGGAAGAGAGGCCCUUGUUACAAGGGCAUGAAAGCCUUAGGCUGCUUGUAGGUAGAAGUUUUGGGGAGAGACAUUAGGGAACAGUGCGAAAAUGGGAAUUGCAGAGCCUGAUGCUUUAGAAACAAUGGCUCCUAGGGUCUGCAAUGUGUGGGAGUUACAUAAUGCUGCUGAUGCUGGUUUGCUUGCCAGGAAGGGGGAAAAGUCUUCAACUGGGUUGAAGACUCAGGGGUUGGUUUGUUGGGGUUUUUUUCUCUUUCUUGGACUUUGGUUCUGGAAGCUGUGGAACAAUAUUAUCUCAUGACUCUGUGAUGACAGAAUCUGAUAUAAAUGAGCCUAUGGCUAAACUGAAUAAUACCCUGCUUGAGUAAAACUUGUUCCUGUUCAGUGUAGUAGUAGUAGGCUAUGUUUUACUAAGUCCGGUGGAAGUAGUCACCUUGCUCUGCACUCACUGCUAUGUGAACUAUCCCACCAUCUAACAUAUCCAAAGUUAUGACAAACUAAGUGGGAACAAAAAUAUUUUCAUAAUGUGAUGAGGAAACAGCACUAAAAAAAAAAUGUAAGCCACCUUGAAAUGCUGAUCUUCUGCUGAGGUAUUUUGCAUGUUGUAAAUUGUAAUUAUAUUUUCAGAAGUGGGAGAAGAAAGAGCAGCCUCAGAAGAACACUUGCAAGAAGGGCUGUGACAGACGCUGAAUGUGUUCUCCUUCACAGGCACACCAUGAGUGAGAAGUGUUGCAUGAGAUUGCAGGAUGAAAAGCAAUAGGUAUUAAAAGAGCAGAGAUAAUUAAACCCCCUUUUUGCUACAAACUGCUACAAACUUCAUAAUGUACUAGUACUUCUUGCACCUUGUAGCUGAAAUGCUGCAAUUGUCCUUUGAACAGGUUAAUGGGUGAACAAGAACAAAGGUGAGCAACCACAUCACUUGGGGGAGGACUGUUGGUGCCUCUGUCAGAGGUUAGCAAGAAUUACACUCUAUGACAGCAAACGCCACAGAGAGUAGACUGGUAAGAGGACUGUCUUCUCCUUUGCCUUCUGACUGAUUGCCCAGCAAAUUAACUGAAAUACCUGAAGGCUUUUGGUGCUGGUCACUGAUUUGUUGAACCCAACAAGUCCUUUCUCACCAUGGUUGUUGAAGACUGGAAGAUAUAGACCUCUUGUGUGUGUUGCAAGCAUGAUUCAGUGAUUCAGAGUGUUUCCAUUUAUUUUCACUUUGGCAGCUGUAGGCCUAUGGGAUGUUCUGUAACUUAUGCAAUAGACUCAAGUAUUAAAAUUUUUUCUUAAAAAAAAGUCAUCUAGUCUAAAGUAGAUCUUAGUAAAACUGCACAAGCUGGGUUUUGUAAGGGCUUUUUUCAGUGCCCAUUGGAAUCCAUAGAAACGUUUCAACUGAUUUUAGUGACUACUGAUGAGAUGAAGUAGGUUGCUUCUUGGAAAACCUGGAGGAGAAUGGUGAUGAUGCUAUAUUAAGACUGUGAACAAAACCCAUUACUCUCACUAGCAUCCGUAAAUAGAGGAAAAGAUUUUUUUUCUUAGUCUUUCUUACAGUGAAAGAAUAUAAAGGUUAGGAAGAGAAAGUAUGAGAAUGAGUGAGAGCUUUCAGCAGGACCUGACUCUGGCUGGGGUUUUCGUCUUUGUGCUCAAAGUGAAUACAACGUACAGAACAACUAAUGAAACCAAGACUUGCAAAAUAGCUGAAGUGGGUGAAUUUGGUUUGUAUGAUAUCUUAAUUUUUUGAUCUGCAGAAUAAAAUGUGACAAACUUCCAAAGAAAGGCAGUCAUCCAUGUUUCAGUACUAAGCGCUCUGUGAGAGGUGCAGCACAGAUUAAGUUGUAGUCUGUGGGUGUCAAGGGCCCAUUUUUGAGUUUGGCAGUGAGUGUUGUUGAUAAUGCAGUUAAACUCCACAUGGAAACCAGGUGAUUCAAAGGAGCUGAACUGCAAUGCUGCUUUCUGCACCAUGAUCUGUGCCCUGCUCAAAGGCCAGCUGGAACAGGCAGACCUAGGAGAAAAGCAGCGAGUGAAAGCCAGUUUUAAUUUGCCCUGAUACAGAACAAGAAAGGAAACUUUGCCCUCUUCACUUCAGUUUUUCCACGGUUGCACUGCUUUGGCAAAGAAGGUACAUAGAAAUUUGUUUGGGGUUUUUUUUGUAACACACUAAGUUUUACUGAUGGUCUUGCUGAUGUGGACUCUGUGCGCAGUGAGCCACAGUGAAACCAGAAAUGUCUAUACAAGUGUGGAAGUGUCCUAUGCAGAGAUCUCUGACACUGUAAGGUUUUAAACAGUGCAUGACAUACAGAUUAUUUGCUUCACAACAGGCAGUUUUGUGUUUCAGUGUGUUUCAACAAUAUGACAGACUUGAAAAAAAUUGCUCCCAACUUUAACUAAAAAAAUAAUUGCUAAGAAGAAAAGAAUGGAACUGCUGCUUUUCUUCUGUGUUACCUUCUUAGUUGGCACAUCUCCAAAAUCAGCUGAUACAGAGAUAAAUCUUCGUUUUUUUGAGAAAGCCAUAAGUAAAUCGAAUUUCUAUACUUGACUAUGCAUUCCCAAUCCACUCAAAUUCUUUUUUGAUAAAUGCACAAGAAAUUUGAAUACAGUGCGGAGGAAUAAAUGCUGCAAUAAUUUCAAAGGGGGAAGAAAACCCACGAAGCAUGCUGAGCUGCUAUUUUCCAACUUAAGAGUUAGAUUUUUUUUUUUCCUGAAGCUGUUGCAUUGGUUUCCUCUCUCGUUCCUUUCUCUGCCUGCAGAAGGAUGAAAUGAGCCCUGGUGAAAAGAGAAGUCAAUGGCUUUAAAUCCUAGUCUAUGGUUUGAAGUGGGUCUUCAUUUCUGCUUAGACUUUGUACCAACUGUCUCCCAAGUGAAUUUCAUUAAUUAAAAAAAUACAGCUUUAUUUCUCUGUUUUAUGCAAAUUAAGUUUGGAUAACGUUCAGACCCAAAUACUGUUUAGCUCCAUGAAGAAAAGUUUUGUUCUUCGUUAACACCCACAACUUAAUCAGUGUUUGUGGAUAUAUCAUCUUUUAUUUUCUCUUUAGCUCCAUUUUGACCCACCCAUAUUAGAUGUAUGAUUUUGUCAUGUUCCUUAUUUUUCCUUCCACCAGGCACUGUGUUGUAUGCAUGUGACAGAGCAGGAUGGAGUUGCCAGGCACAGUCUCAUGGGCAAAAAACUCCAAUUCCCUGCCUUCCUGUUAACCAGGAUUCAGACAGAUCCUGAAGUAUUUUUUUCUAAAUUUCUCCUUCAGUAACUUGUUCAUACCAGGAUCAAUUCUGAGAGAGACAGAAAAUUCCAGAUAGGUGUGGAAGGGUCUAUCUGCCGUCACUGGGCCAAGGCCACCCUGCUCAGAAGUGCACAACACCACACCAAUACUCAAAUACUGGUCCAGUUUCUUCUUAAUUGUCUAUUGGAGAAAAUACUUCCCAACAGCUCAAGGUCAGAAAGGGGAAUCCAGUUUUUGGCCAAGAGCCAAACUGAGAGAAACCAAUGAGUCUUUUGUGCAGGAAAUGUGAAAUGCUGCAUUUCCUUCCCUAAGUAUAAAUAAUUAUCUCUGUAACCCCAGUUGCAUGAUCCCUUGUAAGUGAGAUAUAUAUAUAGUACUUUCCAACAGAAGUGAUGAGAUGCCAGCUUUUGGGGGAAUGUAGGUAGGCAGGCUUCUAAGACCUAUUUGAGUAGUGCAGACAAAAGCUGGCUUUCAAAAUUCAUGUUAUCAGCUUUUUCAUCUGCAGAAGCUUGGUUUUCUUCUAAGGCAGGUUUUGAAACAUAUUAUUACAGUAAAUGUAGGGCUCUAACAGUGGUUCUGAGCUGAUAAUCCUGGAAACCAAGAUUUCAGCUUACCCAAGAAACCCAGCACAGGACAAACAGCAAAAGUGGAUGCUUCCCUACCUUAGUCCCCUCCUGGGAGGGGAGAGCAUAGCUGCCUCCCUAUUCCCAGCAGGCGCUUUGCCUGCCGAGCUGCAAGUAAUAGAGUAUUGACUCACUGCCACUCGAAAUACCUCGCAUGCUGAUGUUGCCCAGAACCCAAAGUGUAUUACCUCUGCAUUAAUUGAAAUGUAGCUUUCAGCAGCCCUUAUAAACGUGCUCAACUGUAGUGUGAAAGCAUUUGUUUCCAGCGGAGAUCCUGAUAACUAGUGAGAUUCAGGAGCGGUGACUGACCUUUGAUCAUCGGCUUUCAGCUUGGCUUGCUGCCGUGCUGGAAGGAGGAAGGGAAAGUUCUUCCUUAUAAAAGCCAACUUCAUGUCAGUGUCUCCUGUUAACAUUUAGUUUGUUUAGCUAAAAACAUGCAGCUUUGAAGCUCCCUUUGUACUGAAUUGCUUGGCUCCUUUUCCCAGUGGUACUCGUAGCUCAGAAAUUAUGAUUUCGUUUUUAGUCCAUAUGUGACUUAAAUUUCGAUGGAUACUGCAGCUGCUGCAUUUCCAAGUUUGCCUGUCUCCUAGCUUUCCCCUCAUUUUACCUCAAAAACUGCCUUGAGAUUUUCCUCAAGGCUGCCAAAAUCAAUUUUACCUCUUCCUUGGAACCUCCUUAGCCCCACUGUUUAGGGACAAAACCUCUUCUUGGAUGCUGCCCAAGUGCAGCUCUGGCUGUGCUCCCCAGAGGGCUGGCACGGUAAGAGCCAGCGGCCCUUCAGACUGCUGCAUGCUUUUGCAGUCCUCAGACUUCUGGGAGAACCAGGGCUCUCAUGCCCGCUGCUCCUGCAGGAUUCGUUCCCGUUCAUCCUCCCCUUGUGCUUUUUCUGAUCGUUCUUGAUGGCAGGAGAGUCAACUGACACCUGUUCAAAUCUAGGUUUUAGAUUGCCGUCUGCUAUAUGACCUGGUUCCUCCUGUGACUUUGGAGUAAUUUAUGCAAUCUGAGCUUGACUCCAUGUGUUUCUCUGAAAUUAUUCUGAUUUACCCUGAUUGCACAAAACCCCUUUAGCCCAUGUCACUGGUAAUGUAGUUCAGUAUUAGUAGAACAAUAGCAGAUAAGUAUGUUUGACUUCCAUACCCAAAACCAAUACAAAAAUGAAAACUUACUAACACCCACUUUUAAGGCAAACUUAAAAAAUGAAAUGCAGAAAGGGGAUCAGAAAGGUCACAAUAUUUAAAAUAAAUGCAAAUUGAACACACAAAAUGAUCUCUUCCCAGGGUGACAGUUAAAUCUGCAAUGGCAGCUGCCCACUUUGAACUGUGGUUUUUUGCAUUGCACUAUUACACUGUAGGUUAAAUAACCAUGACCUAAGGUCAGUGGCCCAUUCAGGAGCAUGCUAAUUUCACACUGUGUCAUGAUUUAAUGGGAGUAACUAGUACUAUGGUAUCUAGUCUUCUAAACAAAUCCUAAAUAAUUUUAAUUUGCCUUGUUAAGAGGAUCAGUUAAUUGUUUCUGGCAAUUUUCUUGUUUGAAAUGUAGUCUAAUCUUUAAAUACUAAGAGAGAUAUGGGUUGUUAUUUCUGUUGGUGUUCUCCUCUGCUUUAGUGUCAUGUUUUCUGGUGUUUGACAAGGUCCAUACAAGUAGAUGUGCAGAAAAGGGGGGAAGGAGUAAAUCUGUGAUGAGGUUAACUCAGCUCUGGGAUGAGUUUAGAAAUGCAUCCAUUUUCCAUUUUUGUGAACAUUUUUGCUAUCACCUUUAAUGGUAUAUUUUGAAUCUGCUUUGUUUAACAGGUCGUGAGACACUUUGCAUUUUGCCUGAGCCAUGGAUUCUUUGGAAACCUGUGUUAGUGUCUCCAUUUAAUCCAUUAUACACCACCAUUAUAUAGUUUCCUAGAGAGCACCAAAUUUUGAUCUGGUGUGAUGAUUUUGAUCUGAUACAACUCUAUUGGCUCAACCAGUGCUGCUUAAUUUUUAUAGUAGCAUACCUAAGCGAUAUUUUGCAUUGUACUUAUGAGAAGAGGCUGGCGACAAAGGCCACCUGCCUGUGAAUCUUACUGCCUUUUUGGUCCCUCCCCUGGAUUUUGCCACCUCCCUUGGGUUGUGAGUAUUGCCCUUAAUGACCUGCUGAAUGAGCAUUAGGAAACAUUAGGGCAAGUACCUUCACCACAUGCCUGUUGUUAACUGGAGAUUUAUGUGCCACAGCAAUAGCAACCAAACUGAAGCCAGGAGGGCCUUCUUCUCAAAAAAAAGAAAAUUGAAGGCCAUUCAAAUUCUGGAUUUAGAAGCAUGUAAGUAAUAGGUCAGUGAGCCUGUCAGAAUCUGAUCAGCAUAUUUGUGUAUUCUGGUGACUUACAUAUUAAAUUUUGGCUCACAGUAACAUCGCUCAGUAGCCCUCCAGGGCUGAAAGGCCCAUCUUUACUGAGCUGAAAUCCAGCCAUGUGCCAUCCUUGCUUAAGGGGAGUUUCUGAGCAGAGGGUGUGGUCUGGCCUGGAUUUUGAUGGCUCGAGAUAUGGUGAGGCUCCAAACUAAGAACCUCUGCUUUUUUAGUUGGUAAGCACAUUUUGAAGGUCUGCAGCAAGAGAGCAUUUAACAAGCCUCUGCUGGAAUGAACACCAACAGAUUGUAAAUUGCAAAGUGCAGUGUAAUUGAAUCUGAUCUCUGGCUUUUAUAGACUGUAGUAAUUGGAAAUUGUCUUUCUUUUAAGUAUAUGCCAUUCCUAGGAUGGCUCCUUCUUGAAACUGUGAUCUGAUAAUUUUUAAAGGCAUAAUAAUGUGGAGUAAGGAGUGGUAUGCAGUCCUUUUGGUACUGGUAGAGAACGGCGAAGUACAGACUUUUGGAACUUCCUGCUGUGUCACUGGUAUUAAGCUAAGUCCUACACUGUAAUUAACAGCUUAGCAAACAUGAAUUCAGUCCUUGAAUAGCUACGGCCUGGAGCCCAAAUAUCAGUGCCCUGUUCAGGUCCAAACAGAUGACCUACAGCAGGGCUGAGUGGAAGCAGCCCUGGCUGGCACUUGGCAGCAGGAGGGAGAGAACUGCACACCCACCCCUCCAGCCAGCUCCCCAGGCAGCUCUGUGCUCUCCUGAAUAUACUCUGCACACCUCCUUAGUCCCAGCCUUUGCCUGAACACUGCCCUGCCCAGUGUCUAAGCACUUCUGUCUAUAGUGCAGGGGGUUUAAAUUUUGUCUUCAGCCAUGGAAACACAAUGAUUUCCCUAAUUUGUUGUUCCUGUACGUCUAAGAGAUCUAAAGGUAAGGUUUGAAUAUAAGGAAACAAAGUAAAACAGAUGAAGUCCAGAACUGAACACUGUCUUUUGUAAUGUUGUAGACUUCCUGUGUGGAGUGCACACUCUUUCUCCUCAUAUGUCCCUUUCCUGUCUCAAUAUCCUUUAUUUUUUGGUAUGCAACGAUGGAUACAUUAGUUGCCUAGGUAUUGAUUAAAGUCUGUUUGUGCAGAAAGCCACGAACAGAUUUGAGGCCUGAGAUCUUUAGUGGAGAACCUCAGUGCAGAGCCAGUUUAGCUCUAUCAGAAAGAAGAUUUAAAGUUAUCUUGCUUAGUAUAAAGUACUCUCAUGGUAAGGUGGUAUUGGUCACCAAAAAAUGAUUGAAUGGCUCAAGAGAAUGUGUGGAGACUCGUGGAGUACGUCUCAGACAUCUGGAACCUGAGGGGUAAUUUUAAUUUCAAAUUAGAAAUUUGGCUUAACUUUGAAAUUAUUUUUAUUACUAAUAAAAACCUCCUAACAAGUGAUUGUUCAUAUGCUCCUCUUUAAGACAAGACUCAAUAACUUUUCAGAAGACACAUUUUAGCCAUUCAAAUAGAUGGUUAUGGCAUUCUUUAUAGGGUUACUAAGUUGAAAAUAAAUACAUUGGAGAUUAGAAAGAGUGAUUGUAAUGGACUAUUUUUGCCUUAAACUCUCUGAAUCUGUAACAGACCAAUUUCUGACCUGCAUGUGCCAGAUAAGUGGAAAACUGGCUUUAGAUCUAAGCCAACAGCUGUGAAUUCUAGAAAAUUCAGGAUAGGAUGGAGGGUAAGAAUUCCUGUGAACCUUUCCCCACAUCUACCUACAUUUUCUAUAGGGGAAAGAAAUAUUUACAGUGCUCUUACAUGAUGCCACAGGUAGAGAAGUUGGCUAUCACCUUCUCUUUGUCCUUAAAACUGUUGUUGUGUUGUCAUCCCUGUUGAUGAGGACAUAGCACCACUUCUAUUGUUGUGCAUAGUGAGUAACAGGAAAUAUCAUGAUUAUGAGGUGCUUUGGAGGGUCACCAUGGGAGAGGCUGACUAGCACCUAUGUGUUCCAAAGGCUGAGUCUCUUGUAGUUUCCGAGUAGUUCAAAGCUGCCAUCCACCUGCUCUGUCUGCCAGUCAAGAUGAUCAUGUUCUCAACUUUCCAUUUCAUGGACUGGAAAGAGCAUGAGAAUUUGGGCGGUGAAGACAAUUAUUACCUGCAAGUGCAUGCUGCCAAGAUAUGGUUACAAGCUGGGUUUCAAUUUCACAUUUCUUCUUUGCUGUAACUAUUUGGACUGGCUAUGGCAUUUUGCUCAGUGUUUUUCCUUCAUGAAAUCCAUCUGCUAUGGUAUCUUCUUACUUAAAAAACGUAUUUUGCAUGCAAGUCCCCAAAUAGCCAAUGCUUCCCCAACUCCCACCUUUUUAAGGAAAUACAGCUUGAGUAGCCAUGUGUGCUGAGCAGUGGUGUUUGAAAAAGUGGGAAUGUGUUACUGCAAUCAUAGGGAAGGAGAAGGAGAUGGGAUUAGUACAUAUUGCCCAUUGCUUCCAUUAUUUCAGUUGGAGUGAGAUGGAGGUGUGCAAACUUCUAGCAGUUGGGUGGUUUCAGUGAGGCACCUGAAAUUAGAAACCACUUUUAAUAAACACUGUAUAAAUAACAUUAGUAUGAGGGAUUAAAGAAAGAGCCCUGAAGGAAUUUAAGGGCAUAGGGUUGAUGGGUUCUCCUUACAACACUCCUUCAGACCUGUGACCAAAUCCCACCAUUUACCCUGCAGUAUUACUUACUCUGCUGUGCCAAGGCAGUUGUCUUUUUUGGAAGAGGUAACAGUUGCACAUAUGUACCAUAUUUUAAGAAUGAUUGACUGGCUUCAAGGAAUCAGUUUUAGUUACACCUAGGUAAUUCUGCUAACUAAUAAAUAUACUUAGCACUAACCUCUUUGUGGACACUCAGAAAUAUCUGCACACACAGUCAGAAGGAUUUUCUGUGCUUUUAACUCAUUUUUUUUCCAUGCUAAUGCCAGCAUUGGGAUCCACUGUUCUCCGGUAAAGGUAGAAGUGGCAUUGUUUCUCUUUCUAGGACACAACGUUCUGGCUGCACAUUUCUACCUCUGAAUUCCCAGCGAGGCUUCACCUAAGAGCACUAAGACACCACAUACACUUAUGCAGAGUCACCUGAGCUGUUGUCCCACGUGGUUUUCCUGGAGUGCACGUUCUUCACACCAGGAAUUUGUAGUUCUCCUACAGUGCACACCCCGCAGAUACAAACGCAAGGAUCUUUUGAAGAGCAGCAGUUAUGAGGUAAACCAGAGGCAAAUGGAGAACCCUUACAGAAGAGGUGAGCCUUGCACUACAGAUUCCCUUGCUGAGGCUGCUUGGUCGAGUAAAGGAAUGGGCACUGGCAAGUCUCCACCAAGUCUGAAAAUUCAUGCGGAGGACUUUUGCAGGGCUCUGAAAGUCUUGCUGAAAGCCCGUCAGUGUGACUCACAAGCAGGAUGAGAUAAGAAUGGAAGGUAAUUUGGGUUAAUAAGUUAUCCUGAGAGGGCUUUUUUCCUGCAGAUGUAGAAGGAAAAGAGAGAGUGAUCCAGUCCUCUCUCCCUAGUAGAGAACUCUAAAUUCUGUGGCAGGAGGUUUGCUUUCCACUCACCAGCAAUGUGCAGGAAACUAGGGUCAGGGAGCCAGGCCAGUGACAUGUUUCAUGUUAAAUCAAAAAAUAAACGUUGCUGUGUCAUUUACUUGCUUCCCAGAGCAGUCAGGAGCAGGACCAUGGGGUCAGGAGACUGGCUCUGUCCUUUGGGCUGCUCUGCAGAGCAUAGAGUGACCCUGUGCAGCUGCAAACACCGUGCCGGGUCUGCCUUAGGCACUGGUGCUGCAGGGUCCCAGCUCCCAGGUGAGCAGGAGUUUCAGAAGUGUGGUAAGGAUGCACCCGCUGGGGUAGCUGAACAGCGAUAGAUUCAGUAAAUCCCCCGUCCUGGCUAUCUUCCUAACCUUUCCCCAGCUCCGUCCUGUGCCGGUGUGGUUUACAUGCCUUCACUGAAGGCUGAGCGGCCUGGCCUCGGCGGUGGCGGCCCAGUGUGCGCGUGGCCGCUUCUGCAAAGCAGCUGAAGUGCUGUAAUUUCAUACUCCAGCUGACGGUGCAGGAACUUGUUCGUCUGCCUGUCCCCUACUGUAGGGGUGGACCUGGCUGCCAUAAGCACUCCCAGAGCUGUCGGUGGAGCUGCUCCAUUCCUACUACAAACAGAGUACUGUGUAACUACCUGAGUAAAGCACAGCUGGCCCCUUUAUACUUCUGACUUUUGGACUGGAGAAGUCUUCUGCACUCCUAUAGCCUUCUAAGUAAGGCUCCUUAGGCACCUUACCUCCACUCUGCUGCUCAGCUUUCCGAGAAACGGAGAUAACCAUAUUGACCUCCUUGGUAGAGCACUUUCUCACUUUUUUAUGAGAUGUGCUACAUAAAAGCUGAUUGUUAGGUUUUGUUCAGCUAUAAAAAGUCCUUAACAGUGGGGCACGGUACGUUAUCAGCCAUAAAAAAAGCCCUUACACUGGACUUUAGCAUCUGGGGAUAGACCUUUGUUCUGCUUAGUUACUUAUAAUCUUUGGAGUGGUGUGGCCUGGGUUUGGUUGUGGUUUGGGGUUUUUUUGCUGCUUUCUGUGUGCAUAUGUAUCGUGUACCUAUGGUUGACUUUUGCUUCUAUUAGGGCCAAAGAUCACUUGGUUUAGCUUAAUGUACAGAUGUCAGUUGGCAUUAGUCGAGUGACUGGCCUGUGAUCUGCCACUCAGCACAUUUCCUAUGAAAUAUAAGGGAAAUUAGCUUCCCAGCAGACAAGAAACUGAGUAAAAAACCCCACUGUACCAAGAAGGACUAUGAUCCCCAAAAAAUAAUCUGCCUUUCCUUCAGCAUACACUCUAUGAACGUUUUUUGCUGACAGACAGAUCUUGUCCAUUUAUUGCAGAUAGCCUUUUCCUCUACCAUAAUAACACAUAUUUCCCUCUCUGUAGCCUCUGAAGAAGAAAAGGAAUUCCUUUUUGUCUAUAGGGCAGUUGAAGGCUUUGUCUCCAGCCUGAACAGCAUGGUGCAAGGGUGGCGGUGUUGAGGAUUGCUUGAAUUCAUGGCAGAUGGCAUCUGGACAUGAUGGAACUCAGGAGCCUUAGGUAGGUUCCUAUUUAACAGCAUUUCCAAUGCAGUAUCUAGCUCUGCAUGUCGCGAAGAUGUAGACAGUCAGAAAGACAUCACAGAUAAUACUAGUUCAAAGUCAAGACUGUAGCAGAAGCAGCAAAGGCAAGCCCCAAAUAGUUCUCCAUGGCCUAAUACUUCUUGUUCUGAAAAGCAGUGUCUGGAAAUGCCAGAGGGGUGUAUAAAGUGUGGGGAGGUUCUGGUGCUGAGCUAGGUGAUACUGGAGCCUCAGCUCUCAGGCUACAGUCUCGGGAGUAGUGGUGGGACAGCAUUUACAACAGUGUUGAUUGAGGUUAGAGUGUUUUAGAAAGGAUUCAAUACAUCCUGCCAGCUUGAGCUGGCAACUAUUUUCAACUAUUCAAGUGAGAUCAGAAUAAUUAACCGUUCUUUGUCUUAACAGAUCACUUAAACAACUGGAGCUGGGCAGGCUCCCCAUAAGGCUCUUUAGGAAUGUGAACCCAGCGGCAGGGUGGUUUGGUUAGGCACUAAUCUAUCCAUUCAGGUAGAGAUUAACUCGAAGGCAGCAAUUUCCUUGGGGGGUAGAAGAGAGACAGAAAUAGCACAGAGAGCCAAGCAAGCUCACAUGUAGCUGGAGGAGGCUACAUGUUUGUGACCCCAAACAAAACCUGAGGGAGGGAUUUUGGGCACAGUACUUUCAAGCAAAAGACACACAGAAUUGCAAACAAAACUCCUUCCUUCUUGUUUGGCCUUGAUUUUAAAAGUUCAAGGACAAAGGGCUUUGUGCAUUCAGUGUUAAUCAAGAGCAGUGUUGUAAGGAAUUACCAACUCCAUCAGGAUUCUUAUCCCAAUGGAACCAACCCAAAAUAACUCUCACCCCAAACUGAUUUGGGCUGCAUAACUGAUAUGGGCUGAAAAUAACAAUGAUUUAUAUAUUUCUUAAGAAAAGUUCUUAUUUUAAAGAGAGUUGAAGACAGCAAAGAGUUGGAUAGGCUAUUAUUCUCCAAUCAAUUCAAUUUUUAAGUCUUACUUAAAAAAUGCUAAUUUUAAAUGAGAUAUUCUUCUGAUCAUUUCUACAACUGAAGGGAUGUAAAUUCACAUUCAUAAUGAAUGCUUUUUUUUUAAUAUUUGAUUGCAGUAAUCCAAAUGAUCCUAUUUAAUAUCAAGGACAGAACUGGUAUCUAUUUUUUGAUAACUGCUUUGCAUAGCAUACUCCAUACAGUUAAAAUUUCUUUGAGAACGAUUUUAGAAGGCACGGCUCUUUGGUAGAACAGUCCUGGUGGGUGGCAUGAAGAGGCUUCUCCUGCACACAGAGUGCUGGAAAGCCACAGUGCUAAAAGUCACAAAUUCCAGGUUCUUUAUAUUUUGUCCUAAUGAUCUUUUACUGCCUUGUUCUAAUCUUGAGCAUGAACUGUUCAGACUUCUAAGAAAAAGAUGUGCUCAUUAUACCUGUUGGCUCUUUUUAGUUUCCCCCUUACCCUGUUGUCAGAGGCUACAGGUCUUAGUUUGAUUCCCAGUCUUCCUGUCCAGUUGUACCUUCUCAAAUCUGAAAACAGCCUCCUUCAACCUUGCAAAGUCCAUUUGAUGGGCUUCCCAUCCUCAAGGUGAUGAGUUUGAAAAACUACAGUCUCUAGAAAUUAAAUUAAAUCUUCAGUUCUCAGGACUGUACAUGUGAAAAACCCGGGAAAGGAGUUUUGGAGGGCUAUUGGCCAAUGCAAUUGAGCAUGAUAAAACUACUUAAAACUGUUUAGCUUUUGUAUGGUAAUUACAUGCACUUAGAGUCAGUGAGAAAGUGUAAUAAAUGCUUUUUGUUUCUAUGUCUAAUAUGAAUAGUCAUCAUUAUCAUUGUUACAGAAUAGGGAAGAAGACAAAAACCAGAUAUUGUAGAUAUGUUGAUGAUAAUAGGCUGUUGAUAGCAGGAAUAUAUUUAUGUGUUCCAUGUGGUCGUAUGUAAAUAUAUUUCAAUUGGGCAGAGUUUUAGGUCAUAUAUAGCUUUCUAUAAAAAGAACAAGAAUCAGAUUUGCAGAAAAGCAGCAGUUGGGUGUAAUGCACAUGAGAAGCAACACUGUCCCCUGUGACACCUUCAGGUAUCCUGAGCUGAAAGUUACAGCUAGCCAGAUCUCAGGUGGUUACAGGGCAACUGUGUACCUGCUAGCCACUACAGUGCUUUAUCACGAAUUAUUACUAUUCAGACACUAUGUUGCCUGCAGUUUGUAGAUACUGAAAGAAUUUUAAGAGGGACAUAGUCAGAAUUUCUCAGUAUAAGAUCAGGAGCCAAACAUUUCACCUCUAACAGAGACUUGCUUCAUGGCUUCAGACAAAAUAUCCACUCUCCCUUCAUUCUCUCUGUAAAUGAGGGCUAGGAUUUGUGUCUUGUGGGAUGUUGUGAGAUUAAUUUUUUCUUGCAUGCAUAAACUGUUUUGAAGGUGGAGAGGUCCAAGUCCUGCUUCACAACAGCCUUGAAAUUACAGCACAAGUGGAGCAGACCCCAUCUCUCCUCAGAAAGGGGCAAACAGCUUGGAACUCAUCAAGUACUCUUUCCAGCUACGACAAAUACAAUUUUGCAGUCCACUGAUUUACAUUUACAAUGCCAAGUUUUAUUUUAUUUAUUUUUUUAAUAUUUAUGUGCCACAACACCAACUUUUUUUUUCCUUUUUAAAUGAAUUGUCACUGGCAUGUGGUCCUCAUUAGUUGAGAUAGAUUUUCAAUAACUUAAGACAAAAGAUCAGCAGGCAAACAAAGCAGGGCCAUUUUGGACAGCAUUGAUGAUGCAGGCCAUAAUUGUUUUCUCCUCACGUGAGAGAGUUCAGGAUUUCUGAGCAUAUUGGACUACUAUAUAGAUGCAUGGACUAUGUAAGGAGGCCUCAUACAUACACAUUUAGGGCCAGAGUUACACAUCUGCAUCCCAGGUGUUGUUUUCAUAACUCUUAACAAAUAAUGGUAGCAAAUGCAUGACUUGUACGCAGAGAGAAUUCUGUCCUCCCAUGUGACUCUCCCUGCACUCCCCUAGCACUAUGUGCUGCCCAGCACAGUCCUGCAAAGCAUCAAGCCAGAAUCCUCCUGGUGUUGAAAGGCUGGUGCUGAAGAGUGGAUCCUGGUUUGGGAUCCUCUCCUCAGAGCCUGGUUUGGGGCCUUUACACCAACUGGGUAUGCACCCUUCCAGCUUCCCUUUAGCUGGUGUAUGGGUUGCUGUCAUUGAUUGUGGCCAUGACUAAAUAGUGCCUGCCACAACUGAAUGAGCAGAGAAGCCCGAGGCAGGAGGGUACAGGUGUUGUCUCAGCCAGAGAAAGCAGGAUAUUGCAGCUGCCACAGGCAGUGGGAGAGGUGGAGAUGGCUGGGGAGGGAGGAGGGAGAAGGGAGAGAGAGGGAGUAGCCACUGUGGACAGGAGCCAUGCACUGAUACCCUCUAAACUGUUGGAAGAAGGAAAGUUCUGGCUGUUAAUAGAAAAUACACACAAUUCUUCAAUGUUGCAAAGAGAAUUUGACCUAUCAGUGAUUACAAAUAUAGGGAAACUUGCAUUGUCACUGCUCACUCCAACUGGUGCCUUUGGGUGAAUGGAAGAUCAGGCUGUCAGGCUGUCAGCUCCUAUGAGCACUAACUUUUCCCAACAAUGGCCCCAACUAUUUCAGUUACAGCCAGUCAAGUCCCAUGACAUCAAAUAUUAAUCUGGCACAGAACUUGGGCUGUCCGAGUACAUUUUAUAACUAACAGCGUAUCAAAUCCUUUGGACCUGAUGACAUUCGCUCCUUUGUUGUCACGUCAGUCAGUCACUUUAACCCAGAUUCUCAGUCGAUUCGAAGGAAAGAAAAUGGUGCUUCAGAGGACUCACUGCCACAGAAGUACUUUAAAAACAUGAACUGAAGGAAGGUAGGACCAAAACUCGUCACAAAAGAUCCCACCAUAAAAUCAGGAGAGCGCACAAGGAGCCUUAGAUGACCUCACAGCAAGAGGCUGUGGUGCUGUUUUGCAUACAGUUUCUCUGCGGGGGCAGACCUUGGAUCAUCCCAAAUCUAGUCGUUGGGUUUGAAGUUAGUUAAGAGCCUUGGGCCUGAUCUGUUUGCAUAACAGCAGUUAUAUUCAUUUUAUAAUGGAAUUUCUGUCUGUAUAACAGACAUUUCUAAUACUGUGAAAGCAAACUAAGUUCAGAAAUCAGAUUUCCCAGGUGGAGCAUGAAAAGGCAGGUCCAAGGUACUGGUCUCUUCCAGUUGUUGCCACAGCCCCUCUAAUCUGGCAGAGAGAUGCCACCUUCAGAGGGACUCUGUGUCAGGCAGCUCCUGCGUAUGCUGUCCCUAGCAUUCAGAACUGGCAUGAUGCUUUGAUUCACCUCUGAUUUUGCAAGGAAAAAACAACUCUUAAGACAGUUAGCAGAGGGCUGAGCAUACAAGCGUAACACAUUAACAAAACCACUCCAAUUAGCUGGAGGUGGGGGCAGGGAAUGAUAAAAAUUAGAAGAAUUUUGCUCUUCUCUGCACAAGCCUAGAGACAGUGAGAGAAAAUUAUAACUUGACCCUAAAUUAUUCAAAGGAAGCAAAGAAAUAAAAUAUAGGCUAAAGAAGAAUCCUUCCUAAUAACCGGAACUAAAAGCCAAAGCACAUUAACAUAUGAGGACUGGAAGGUUCAGAGAAAUAGCUGGAAGGGAAUUGCACUCCUAUAGCCAUGGUGAAAAUGUAGGAACUCAAUUCAGUAAUAUACCUGGCAUACCUCAAGAAAGGGAAAGUUUCUACAUUGUACUAGCACCACUCUUGACCUUAUCAUGUGCAGAAUAGAUGGCUCAAGGAACAGAUAAGGAAUAAGAGGCAGCUUUUUUAAUGGUCAGAGGGAUUCUGCCAAGGAGUUUUCUUUCAGAAGGUGUUUCUAAGUGGGCUGGAGUGCAAGAAAGGGUUGGAAGCCCAAUGUGAUCAUUCUCAUUUGCAGAAUUGCCUACCAAAUGAUGCUUAGAGGCAUAAGCUACUCCAGCUAUGGACAAAAGUGUGUUUUCUUUAAGACACAUCAGCAUACAUUCUCCUGAGUGUCUCCCCAGUUCUUGGAAAAAUGGUAAGAACCUUUGAUAUUUCCAAAGUUAGGUACAAGUACCUGAGCCUGAACUGUUUAUAUUUAAGAACAAAAAGUCAGCAAAUAAAGAAAAAAUAGACCUGAACAUAUUGUUUAAGGAUGUGUCAGAGAACUCAUGAUGUCAUGUGAAAAGCUACUUCUAUGGCAAUGGAGUGCAAAAUCCAAAUGGGCUGCUAAAGCUUAAAAGUAAUUACUGUCUGGAAGGACUGAUAAUCUUGUGUCUGUUCCAGCAAGUGUUUAAACAACCAAGCACACUCAUCCACAGGCCAUCUUAGUUGCUACAGCUUCAGCAGCAAGGACAAAGGCAAAAUUAGCAUAUGGAUGGGAAGACCCUCUCAAUCCUUGAUAUUUCCCUUACAGGAGUUUGCAGCAUAGUAGUCAAUGCAGCAGUUAUUCUGCAAAUGGAGAGCUCUGGUCUAGUGCUGUCAGUCUCACACCCACUGUUCGUGAACACCUACAUUCCCUUUAAAAAUAAAAUCGUAAGAGCUGUGAAUACAAAUGUGCAAAGAUUUUACUAUUUAAAGGGUUCUUCUGGAGAAACUAUGUCAAAUAUGUAGCUCUUUCUAAAAUGCCAGUGAUGCCCAUGAUUACUUGUUCUGCAACCUUUGCUUUCUGUGUCCAGCAGAUGGAUGAAGCUCACAUCUGGUGUGGAGCUACCCCUUCUGUCAACUGCCUGCCUCCUGCCAUGCUCUGCUUCAUUAUUGCUUAGGCAAAACCAUUUGCCAGGGACUGGGAAUUGCAUGGUUUUCCAGCUGGCAACCUUAGUGGUUGCCCUGAGUGGUCAAAGCCAGUGGCCUGGGGAUGAGCAGCAGGUGGUGCAGGAAGUGUGAUCACUAAUUCAGAGGGAUGCUCCAGAAAGGGAGAAGCAGCUGUAAAAAGAAUGCUGUGGACAAAUGCCACCCACCCUGGGAGCACAGCUUUCUGGAGCUCUCAUAGCUUCAGACAAGUGAGGUUGCAGAUUAUCAUGUUGUGAGGAGUUGUAGAGGUGCGAGGGGAGUGGAGGGAAGGCAGGAUGGUGGAAGAUGAAAGUGGAGGCACUAUACUAGGCCUGUAAUGGUCUUCAGAGGUUCAGGUGCCCCCUCGACCAACCCUUUGCUCAACGUAUGUUGGUGAGUUUUAGUGGGCAUUUGCACAGUUCUCAGCUUUCUGAAGAAGUGAGAUGACUUCUACUUAUGCAUUACUGUUAUUUAAGGAAAGCAGGGUGUUAGAACAUUGAAGGUAGGUAUUGAAGGCAUCAAUACCUGAUAUCCCUUUCACCAGGUAAUCCCAUUCACCAUUUAAUGCCAGUCUCAAGGCAUUAAAUAUUUCUGCUCUGACUUGACACCAGCUCCAAACUGUUGUCAGAAAAACCAUUAGCUGUUUACAUCCAGAAAUUAAGCCAAAUUCUGGCUCCAGUGAGGCCAGUCAUAAAAUUCAAAUUGAUUUCAGCAGCAAUAGAAAUUAGUCUCCUAAGUGGAGGUGAAGAGGGAGGAGUUGCAUGGCAGUUUGCUAUUGCCAAACAGUGCAAGUGCAAGUUAAAUUCACUCAAGUUUGGGACAUAUUAAAACUUGGUGUGUGAGUGUGCAUACAGCACCAAGGCACGGCAGUGUGGCACUAGGAGACCUAGUGUUGGUAGCUGCUGGAAGUGAUUUCCAGACUUUCUUGCAGAUACAGAUGACUAUUUUAGGAAUUGAGGGACAUGGCCAUCCUGGCUCCCAGCUCUGCAUGACUGACAGUGUCUUCUCUAUCUCAUAUCACUCAGCACUGAUAUUCUCUUAAUUUAACUACUCAGACAGACAGAAGUAUUAAAUGGUAUUUCAGAAUUCUUUAUUAAGAUAUAUGCUUUCCAGUAACUGCCUCACUUAUUCUCUGAUCGCAGCGGGGAAAAAAAUCCUCCUCCUGGGUAUUUCCUGCUUGUAAGACUACACACCUCUUAGAAAUGGAUUUUGUCCUUUAGCCUUUUUUUGUUUCAGGUUGCAUUUAGAUUGGUCUCAGGAAGAUGUGCAAAUCACUGUGAGUACUCUUAAACGUACAUUUACAUUUUCCUCUUGCUUUUAAAGAAAUGCACACAUAUUUUUCUAUUUCCUCUUUGCUUUUUAUUUCUUUGUAAUUUCCCAUUGUGACCACUUUUUUAACGCAUUAUUUUCAGACUCCAUUCUGCACAUAUAUGAAAUAAGUAAGAUUUUGUUCUAUGCUAGACCUAAAUUUUACAUUCACCAUUAAUCUGAACUGUUUCUCUUAGACUGCAUAAAAAAAAAAAUCUACAAUUCAGAAUCCUGUCAGCUCUGCGCUGGUAAUUCAAGUCUUAGAUUUGUUAUAAUCACCAACAGUAAAUAUUGUAUCCAUUUUUAGAGAAUGAUCCAAUCUGCUUGUAUUUCCUGAUCUUUCUUCUCAUUCCUUUGUUAUGAUAUGUUUUCUGCCUCUUAAUUGUUUCCUUAUGAAAUGGCCUCAGUCAAAGCAGUUACAAUGAAGAACGUUCAUUUCAAACUGUCAGCGUUUUAGGCACAGCAGAUAACCACGAGCUGGUUACUCCCUGCUUCCAGUAGGACUCCUUAAGGCCAAGUAGUAAGUUCUGAAGCCUUGUUAAGUGAAAAACAGCAAAGACCAAACAUCACAGGCAAAUGACAGCUUAGCAAAUGUGACUUCUGUCCUUUUAGACAAUAAUCUCGAUCCAAUUUUUGAGUUCUGCACAGACAUAAAAUUUUACUUUCAUUGUAGCUGAAUAGCAUUAGGAAUCAACUUAGGUUCUCUCCCAUGAACUGUGUUUAAAACAUCUUUUUUUCAAAUAACUCAGGAGGUGCCUUUUAUGUUUUCAGUACUGAGGCUGCUUUAUUGAAGUAUAAAUCCAAGCCCCUUCAUCGAGGCAGAAAGCUCUGCUGGUUCUUCUGCAUUUCCACAGCUCGGUACAGGGCUAGAUGCACUUAACUAGGAGGUGUGAAGGAGCAUCCUGGAAGAGAUGGAAGCUAAAUAUAUUCUGCUACAAGAUUUCUUCCAUUCCACUCUCCACCCCCAGAUCCCAGAGACUACAAUGGCUUAUGCAGGGUUUUACAUAUGCAGCUAAUGGUGGAGGGAGGAGAAUUCCCACGGAUAAAGAGCUUUAGCCCAGUACCAGCACAGCACACAGCUUGAAUUGGUGCUGGGGUGGAUUUUGAGGGAAAGCAAUCCCAUCACUGCUUCCAAGGAGAGGUCCUACACAAUUAUUUUUAGGAAAGGAUCCCUGGCUAGAAGGAGAUCCUUCUCUACAACUUUGAUAUAGGCACCUGGACAAGGUGAAGAGGGGAUGGGAUUUCAUCUAGAUCCCCUGCACUUAGUGUUUCCUUUUGCUUAGCUCCAAGGGGCUUCCCAGUUUGAGGAGUUUAUUUUGUUUCAAACCACUCUCUAGCACCCAGCUAUCUGUGUGUACCGUGUGACUCGCAGGUCUGAAGUGCCAUGGCUAGUCCUCCUGAGGCCAGGUGCCUGUUGACACACUUUCCAUCUCUUACAAGAGUAUCACCUUACUUGUGUUUAAGGAGCCCAACUCCAUAAAAAUAUAAAAGAGCAAACAAGAGUUUCCUUUCAUUUGCCCCUGAUUCUACGCUUAUAUAAUUCCACUAAUUUUAUUUGCAAGAGAACAAAACCAGACCCCUAGUCUCUUGGUAGAAAUGAUUUUACAGGGCUGUUAUCCAAACCAGAAGGCUGAGCAGGAGUCUACUUCUCAUGCACAAACCACCACAGCAGAAGUGACAUGCAAAGGGGUUAUUUUAUUCCCACUCUACCUUUUUAUGCACAUUUAUGUACGUUGUGUGUAGUGGGAUGGAGGCAGAGAACAACAGCUGAGCAGCCCUCCAUCUUCCACACGUGAUUGUCUAGCUCACUGUUUUUAUCUCCAGGUACACAAAAGGAAAUGAAACCAUUAAAGGGGAUACCUGUGAGCUGUAAACUCCGAGAGGAAGAAAUUACUAUCAGUUUGACAGCUUAUCAAAUGAAAGAAAAAGAAGUCUUUGAAGAAUCUGAAGGCAUUGGAAUACAUUAUGCAAUUUCCUGGACUUUAUGCUACCUCUUGUAAGUGCUAUGAUAUUAUUUCCAGUCCCUGGAAAACAGAACUGUACUAUAGAUGAUGACUGUGGGAUUUCUGUUAUCUUGGAGCAAAUAUCGGUUUUAUGCUUUCCUUCCUAUUAAGGCAUUUUAGAAAAUGAAACACGGAAAAAGCAAGAUCUUCUCAUAGUGUUGAGGGCCAUCUAUUCUUGUACUUCAAGAACAUGGUUUAGAAAGGGGAUCUCCUACUGCCUCUGCCCAGGCAGCCUUCUCAUCUUCCAGAACGAUAUGCUUGUAAAACAAAGACCUACAGCUAGGUUUCCCUCAUAGGAGCACAGAAAAUACUGCAAGUUUAUAGACAGUGUUCCGUCAGAAAUCCUCAUAAAAUGGAAGCAGUUGUUUAUCUCUUUACAAUAAUAAUAAUAAUAAAAAAAAAGAUUCUGAGUCCCACUGGCUUUUUACUCUUAAACCUAGUCUAGAGCCUGUGAUUAGAUCUUGCAUCUUCCUCCAGCCUCUCUCAGUUUUAUGUGAGUGCACCCCUCUACUUUUUUGGACUCUCCUGUCUUGUUUCAUGUCAGUGAAUGGUCACAAGAUAGUUAGAGUCAGCUUUAGGUCACCUGAAUCAGCUUUACAACAUCUAGCCUCAAGUAGGGGAGCCAUGUAAUCCUCACAAUAGAGCUCUGUAUCUGCUGGCUUCAAACCUGAAUGGCUUCUUGAGAGGGUCUGGCAGUCUGUGGUAAGCACUACACUUCUAGAGCUACCUUGCUAUCCAUAUCUGAGUUACCAAAUGCUGAUUGGGAUAUGCCUGCAUUGCCUUCAGCAUUGACACAGCUAUAGGCAUGUUCUGAAAGCGUGUAAGGCAGUCCCUUUUGCCUGCGACUCAGACCAUGUAGUGUUCUUAUCUGUGCGCUUCCUACAGAAACUGAAGUGUGGGAGGAAUCUCCUGUACUAUUCUGUAGGGGAAGAAGUGCCAUCCCUGUAAUUGAUGGGUACUAUGUAGUCCAGGUGUGAGUCCUUCAGGGACCAGGCAUAAAGGACAGGGUAAGGUUUUCAACAUGCAAGGGAAAAAUGCAGCUAUUCCCACAAGCAUGUUUAUAUUAGAGGAGGUGUCUUCCAUCCAACACCAUCCAUAAACCUCUGUUUGUUAAUAUCUGCUGCUGUCCUCCACGUGAGGUGAGGGUACCUGGAUGAGCAGUCACCCCAGCUCCUCCCAGUUCUCAGCAUUCUGGGUUGUUUGAUCAGCAGAUGAUCUCAGGAUACCAGAAACAGGGAUGUCUCAUUUAGCAUCUUAAAAUUUGCACACAACUAAGUUUUUCCUUGCUAAGGGCUGAAUGGGCCUACCAUUGGCUAAGUGGCUAAGUAUUGAUUUACACCCCAGUUUUAUCCCCAUAAAGUUGGAACUGAGGAUAAAGGCCUUUCUCAGAGAGGCAAGUUCUCUAUUACAGACAAAGCAGGAAAAAAUCAGACCCAUUAUGCAAAAAACAGCCAUGAGCUAUUUUCCUUCAGUAUGUAGCAGUUAGUUAAAUGCUGUGUUAGUACUCACUGUAGGUAGAGAACUUUUGCUUCUUAUCUCAGAAAAUCACUCAUAAAAUUUACAGUUAAUUUCUAAUUAGGUUGUUCAAAAUAUAACUAUAAUCUUGAGGAAGCAGCUAUAGCAUUUUAUGCCACUGCACUGUGGUCUGUGUACAUCAGUCCGAAUGAUCCAUUAAAGUAUUACUAAAACGAUAGAAUAAAUUGCAUUUUUACAAUAUUAAAUAUACCACAAAGAGUAACCGUGAAAAUUGCUGGCAUAUGCAGCUCAUCUAACCUUGGAACUCAAAUUGCUUUUCUAAUUUGCUGCCAUAAUCGUGAAAGUAGACUUCUGUAAAACUAUAUUUCUGCGUUAGGAGAGGGGACAGGGGGAGAAGCACAGCGGACAAGCAUUGACAAAUCUAUUAAAUUACAUACCAGAGAGAGAAAUUAUCACAUUAAAAAGCCCAAGUCGGAAGAGCUAUACCUGACCAUUGCAACAGAGAAAUUACCGUCAGUUCCCAUUAUUGCUCUGUCAGAGGUGUCAGUCGCAGCCCGCGCCUGCGGCCGGUCAUUUGAUGUAUUUCCCUGCCUCUCACGGCACAUGCAGGCUGCGAAGAGCGUCAGCUGGGCUGCUGGAAAGCAACUCUGCUUCUCUAGGCUACUGGGAGAGGACCUCAAUAUACCUGA